rnacentral:rRNA from 1 species
AGAGUUUGAUCUUGGCUCAGGAUGAACGCUGGCGGCGUGCCUAAUACAUGCAAGUCGAACGCGAGCAGCAAUGCUCGAGUGGCGAACGGGUGAGUAAUACAUAAGUAACCUGCCCUAGACAGGGGGAUAACUGCUGGAAACGGCAGCUAAGACCGCAUAGGUAUGGACACUGCAUGGUGACCAUAUUAAAAGUGCCAAGGCACUGGUAGAGGAUGGACUUAUGGCGCAUUAGCUGGUUGGUGAGGUAACGGCUCACCAAGGCGACGAUGCGUAGCCGACCUGAGAGGGUGACCGGCCACACUGGGACUGAGACACGGCCCAGACUCCUACGGGAGGCAGCAGUAGGGAAUUUUCGGCAAUGGGGGGAACCCUGACCGAGCAACGCCGCGUGAAGGAAGAAGGAAUUCGUUCUGUAAACUUCUGUUAUAAAGGAAGAACGGCGGAUAUAGGGAAUGAUAUCCGAGUGACGGUACUUUAUGAGAAGGCCACGGCUAACUACGUGCCAGCAGCCGCGGUAAUACGUAGGUGGCGAGCGUUAUCCGGAAUUAUUGGGCGUAAAGAGGGAGCAGGCGGCGGCAGAGGUCUGUGGUGAAAGACUGAAGCUUAACUUCAGUAAGCCAUAGAAACCGGGCUGCUAGAGUGCAGGAGAGGAUCGUGGAAUUUCAUGUGUAGCGGUGAAAUGCGUAGAUAUAUGGAGGAACACCAGUGGCGAAGGCGACGGUCUGGCCUGUAACUGACGCUCAUUCCCGAAAGCGUGGGGAGCAAAUAGGAUUAGAUACCCUAGUAGUCCACGCCGUAAACGAUAAGGGGUAAGUGUUGGGAGUCAAAUUUCAGUGCUGCAGU